AUGUACAUUCCUACAAAUUAGCUUUAAUGCAUUGAAUCCCAUUAGAACUUCGCAGUUAAGCACACUCGAGCUAGAGUAGUAAUGGGAUGGGUGACUGCUCGGGGAGUCCUAGUAUUUUACAUG
rnacentral:rRNA from 1 species